rnacentral:rRNA from 1 species
GCGGCGUGCCUAAUACAUGCAAGUCGAACGAGUUCUGAUUAUUGAAAGGUGCUUGCAUCUUGAUUUAAUUUUGAACGAGUGGCGGACGGGUGAGUAACACGUGGGUAACCUGCCCUUAAGUGGGGGAUAACAUUUGGAAACAGAUGCUAAUACCGCAUAAAUCCAAAAACCGCAUGGUUCUUGGCUGAAAGAUGGCGUAAGCUAUCGCUUUUGGAUGGACCCGCGGCGUAUUAGCUAGUUGGUGAGGUAACGGCUCACCAAGGCAAUGAUACGUAGCCGAACUGAGAGGUUGAUCGGCCACAUUGGGACUGAGACACGGCCCAAACUCCUACGGGAGGCAGCAGUAGGGAAUCUUCCACAAUGGACGCAAGUCUGAUGGAGCAACGCCGCGUGAGUGAAGAAGGCUUUCGGGUCGUAAAACUCUGUUGUUGGAGAAGAAUGGUCGGCAGAGUAACUGUUGUCGGCGUGACGGUAUCCAACCAGAAAGCCACGGCUAACUACGUGCCAGCAGCCGCGGUAAUACGUAGGUGGCAAGCGUUAUCCGGAUUUAUUGGGCGUAAAGCGAGCGCAGGCGGUUUUUUAAGUCUGAUGUGAAAGCCCUCGGCUUAACCGAGGAAGUGCAUCGGAAACUGGGAAACUUGAGUGCAGAAGAGGACAGUGGAACUCCAUGUGUAGCGGUGAAAUGCGUAGAUAUAUGGAAGAACACCAGUGGCGAAGGCGGCUGUCUGGUCUGUAACUGACGCUGAGGCUCGAAAGCAUGGGUAGCGAACAGGAUUAGAUACCCUGGUAGUCCAUGCCGUAAACGAUGAAUGCUAGGUGUUGGAGGGUUUCCGCCCUUCAGUGCCGCAGCUACCGCAUUAAGCAUUCCGCCUGGGGAGUACGACCGCAAGGUUGAAACUCAAAGGAAUUGACGGGGGCCCGCACAAGCGGUGGAGCAUGUGGUUUAAUUCGAAGCAACGCGAAGAACCUUACCAGGUCUUGACAUCUUUUGAUCACCUGAGAGAUCAGGUUUCCCCUUCGGGGGCAAAAUGACAGGUGGUGCAUGGUUGUCGUCAGCUCGUGUCGUGAGAUGUUGGGUUAAGUCCCGCAACGAGCGCAACCCUUAUGACUAGUUGCCAGCAUUUAGUUGGGCACUCUAGUAAGACUGCCGGUGACAAACCGGAGGAAGGUGGGGAUGACGUCAAAUCAUCACGCCCCUUAUGACCUGGGCUACACACGUGCUACAAUGGAUGGUACAACGAGUUGCGAGACCGCGAGGUCAAGCUAAUCUCUUAAAGCCAUUCUCAGUUCGGACUGUAGGCUGCAACUCGCCUACACGAAGUCGGAAUCGCUAGUAAUCGCGGAUCAGCACGCCGCGGUGAAUACGUUCCCGGGCCUUGUACACACCGCCCGUCACACCAUGAGAGUUUGUAACACCCGAAGCCGGUGGCGUAACCCUUUUAGGGAGCGAGCCGUCUAAGGUGGGACAAAUGAUUAGGGUG